UAAGAAGCAACAUAACCACAAAAAACAACACAAAUCUCAUUAGUUUAAGUCUGAGGCUAUGGUGAGAAAAAAAACAGAGAGAAGUGGGAGUUUUAUUGGUGGUUUUGCCCCUCUCUGUAAUUCUCCACAGCCAAUGAUCACACAAAAUGAAUAAAAAAAAAAAAAAAAAAUUGCAAAAACCACCCUUUAAUUUCACUUUUUGUUACUUCUUCUGUCCCAAUUUAUGUGUAAUGAGGCUAUGAAGAAAUUCAAAGAUUUUUGUCUUUUUAUAAAGAUGAAUAAAUCAGAUGUAUAUUUCCAUUGAGCUUGAAAAAAAAAUUGUAUUUUUGGCAUGGCAGCUCAAAUUGGUCUAUGAGAUUUGGAGGAGAAAUUAUUUCUUUUCUGUCUCAUAAGGCUAAGAAAUUGCAGCCAUGACAGUUUUUUUUUUAAAAGCUUUUUGGAUUUUUGUCUGAGAAAAGGCGAAUCUGAGCCUCU